GGGGGAGGUGGCCGUGCAGUUUCUGGCACUAACUCGGGUGUCCUCCUGAAGCCUUAGUUCCGCCGCGAGUAACGGUCCGUGGGAAUUAACAACCUUCGCGCCAGCGAAGAGUCAGUCGUAUGGAUAAGCAGAAUUCGUUGCCACCCAGGUAAGACAAUGAAGCUCCAGAAAGCCCUUGAGAAAUGCACAGAAACUAUCACUGCUCUUUCCUGGAUGAUUAUGUAGAGUUUGGAGGUCAUGAAUCCUUUCUGGUAUCUUGGGUGAAAGCUUACAAAAUGUGCACUGACCUCUGUAGACGUAUUUUCUUUCAACUAAAGAGAAUUGUUGAAUGUUGAGAGAAGAGUCUUCAUAAAAUCUAUGGCUUUUAACAUUUCUUGUUGCUUUCUAUUGUGAAGAUUGUGAACUUUGGAAAAAGGACACUCCGAACAAUUGGGCAAGAACCAUAUUGAGAGCCAGAGAAGGAAUAACUAUCAACAAACGGACAUUCAUGAAGUCAAAACUUGAAUUUGAAACAGACCUUGCCCUAUAUUCUGAAUGAUUAGAACUUUCAGCUAUGUAUUAAAGUAAAUUCAUUUACAAUUGACAAAUUUUGUCCAAUUGUUU
rnacentral:lncRNA from 1 species